rnacentral:rRNA from 1 species
AUUGAACGCUGGCGGCAGGCCUAACACAUGCAAGUCGAGCGGAUGAAGGGAGCUUGCUCCUGGAUUCAGCGGCGGACGGGCGAGUAAUGCCUAGGAAUCUGCCUGGUAGUGGGGGAUAACGUCCGGAAACGGGCGCUAAUACCGCAUACGUCCUGAGGGAGAAAGUGGGGGAUCUUCGGACCUCACGCUAUCAGAUGAGCCUAGGUCGGAUUAGCUAGUUGGUGGGGUAAAGGCCUACCAAGGCGACGAUCCGUAACUGGUCUGAGAGGAUGAUCAGUCACACUGGAGCUGAGACACGGUCCAGACUCCUACGGGAGGCAGCAGUGGGGAAGAUUAGACAAUGGGGGGAAGCCUGAUCCAGCCGUGCCGCGUGUGUGAAGAAGGUCUUCGGAUUGUAGAGCACUUUAAGUUGGGAGGAAGGGCAGUAAGUUAAUACCUUGCUGUUUUGACGUUACCAACAGAAUAAGCACCGGCUAACUUCGUG